rnacentral:rRNA from 1 species
GACGAACGCUGGCGGCGUGCUUAACACAUGCAAGUCGAACGGAAAGGCCCUGCUUUUGUGGGGUGCUCGAGUGGCGAACGGGUGAGUAACACGUGAGUAACCUGCCCUUGACUUUGGGAUAACUUCAGGAAACUGGGGCUAAUACCGGAUAGGAGCUCCUGCUGCAUGGUUGGGGUUGGAAAGUUUCGGCGGUUGGGGAUGGACUCGCGGCUUAUCAGCUUGUUGGUGGGGUAGUGGCUUACCAAGGCUUUGACGGGUAGCCGGCCUGAGAGGGUGACCGGCCACAUUGGGACAGAGAUACGGCCCAGACUCAUACGGGAGGAAGCAGUGGGGAAUAUUGCACAAUGGGCGGAAGCCUGAUGCAGCAACGCCGCGUGCGAGAUGACGGCCUUAGGGUUGUAAACCGCUUUCGCCUGUGAAGAAGAGUGAGUGACGGUAAUGGGUAAAGAAGCACCGGCUAACUACGUG